rnacentral:tRNA from 1 species
GCGGCUGUAGCGUAGCCUGGUCAUCGCGCGUCCCUGUCACGGACGAGAUCGAGGGUUCAAAUCCCUUCAGCCGCG